rnacentral:lncRNA from 1 species
ACGACAAUCGAUCUUCGAUCGAGCUCCAACAAUAAGCGUCCUCCUUUCGGCCUCCCAUAAGAACCGAACUCCGUCCGAGCCUCCACAGCGGAUGGAUUUUGGACGAGCUUUCACAACGGAUGGACUCCGACAGCUGGAUUCUUACAACAAUCGAUCGCCUCCGACGUCUGUCGAACCUCCCCAGUGCCAUCCGAAGUCCAUCACCGGUCGACCCCCCGUCA